GAUGAACGCUAGCGGCAGGCCUAACACAUGAAAGUCGAGGGGUAGAACACUUCGGUGUUUGAGACCGGCGCACGGGUGCGUAACGCGUAUGCAAGCUACCUUAUACAGGGGAAUAGCCCAGAGAAAUUUGGAUUAAUGCCCCAUAGCAUUACGACUUGGCAUCAAGAUGUAAUUAAAGUUCCAAUGGUAUAAGAUGAGCAUGCGUCCCAUUAGUUAGUUGGUAAGGUAACGGCUUACUAAGACAAUGAUGGGUAGGGGUACUGGGAGGGAGAUCCCCCACACUGGUACUGAGACACGGACCAGACUCCUACGGGAGGCAGCAGUGAGGAAUAUUGGUCAAUGGUCGCAAGACUGAACCAGCCAUGCCGCGUGCAGGAAGACGGUCCUAUGGAUUGUAAACUGCUUUUAUACAGGAAGAAACCCUCCUACGUGUGGGAGCUUGACGGUACUGUAGGAAUAAGGAUCGGCUAACUCCGUGCCAGCCGCCGCGGUAAGAC
rnacentral:rRNA from 1 species